GUAACAUCUGUAAUAUAUAUGCUCUUCCAUGCAGAAUUUCCCCUGGGUAGAGGCAGACAGUGACAGUCUGAGGAUGCCCAACGCCAGGAUCAUUCCUCUCAAACCAUGACUUCAAACGUCAUCAAGAUGCAGCUCUAUGUGGAGGAGGGGAACAAGUCUGGCAGAUAGCACAAGGACUACUCUAAGCUACUUAAGGUCCUUCUCCCAUCAUUCCCCCAGCCCUUGGGCCACACCGUUGUGCUUGCGAGCACAGAUCAUACUAUAGCAAGAGGCUAGUCCUUUGGUAUUGGCUCGUCUUCAACUUCCAUACUCAACCCCAUGUGUGCUGAGUGCUCAUAAUACAGAAUAGUAUGUACUCACUCACGCACUCACUCACUGUCCGAUUUAGUUUGUUGUGCCCCGUUUAGGCGAGGGUUGUGAUUUGGGUUAAGUUUGUCGUUUGGAUUAAGUAUGACAUGGUUGGGUAUCAAACCCACAUUCAAGGCAAGAACUGUACUGACUGGGUCAUUACAUAGUGCAUUAAGCUAUUGUUGCAGUGCAGUUGUCACUGUGUAGCGUAAUCUAAAUAUUCUUAGUGCUGAUAUCGAUUGUAAAAGACUUUUUUGUACAACAGGCAUUCCUGCCUUCUCAAGUUAAUACAUUGAGGUGGCCUAUUUUGUUUCAGUUACUUUGAAUUGAAUAUAUGGACACAUGUAUAUAUAAAAAUAGUGUAACAUUGUAAUGUAUUUGCAUACAAUUAAAAGGUGUAUGAAUUACAAAGACAAACUUGUUCUUCUUCAUUUUAAUUCUCUUGAUUCAUUCUGGCAACUGCUGUUGUGAUUGCUACAUUUGUAGUUGCAACACUUUGCACUAGAAGGUACACCAAAUGUCAAAAAUAGACACAAGAGUCAAGAUUUUGGUCCAGACAUUAUAUUCUGCCAUACUUUGUGUUCUUAGUGACAGAACAGUAUUACGCAACACAACACAGACAUUAACAUUGUAAACUAUCAAGGAACAUACAUAAGUGCUUCUUAUGACUGACAAACGAUUAGAAA